GUAAUGAAUAUUAAAAAAUUUGCUUCCAAAUUCUAUUUUCUUUUUUGUUUAAUUUCUUUCAAAUAAUUUCUCUUUACUUUUAUGAACUUCCUGUUUUUCCACUUACAUGUGAAAAUUUAGAAUCGUUUUUAUUUCUAAAUAAUCUUCAGUCAUUCACCGAAAUUUAGAUUUAGUUGGACGUGAGUUUAAGGUAAUUUUCUUUUCCUCUGUUUUUCUUGGUAACCAAACGUGCGAACAGAACCUAAUCGAAUAUAACAGUCUGUGCUCGAUUCAGUCCUUUAAGUUCGAAGGAGAAAACUAAUCACGGCAAUAGUAUGUGCAUUCGUGGCGUCGACUCUGAAACUUUCAUUUUCGAGGUCUUAUUUCAUCACAAUAUCUUCUUACGUGUCUCACGCAGUGUAUUUGACUGUACAUGUUAUUUGUGGGUAAAUAUAGUGAUUUUUUUCAUGAUAUAUGGCAAGAUGAGAAGGAUGAAGAUUUUAAGUUCAGCUUUGACAGAGUGUUCUAUGAGAAUUCUGAGCAGGCUGAUGUUUACGAAUUUCUAGCUCUGCAUAUUAUUCGAGGUGAAAAGAAAAAUUGUUUGCAGCGUCUUCCUCAAGAAUUAAUUGAAGCUUUCAUAACUGUUGUUCUCAUGUCAGGCUUUUAACUAUAUAAUCUGUUCAUCUUGAUGAUACAGAUGCUGUUAAUGCAAUAAAUGGGACCAUCAUCACUUAUUGACAGAGUGGUUAUGCAAAUACUGGAAUUUGGAGACUGAAAUUGGAUUUUUGGUGACACUUGGCCAGUAUGUGAAAAUAUUUUCUGUAGGAUCUGACUGUUGGCUUAAUGAGCAAUUUAUGUGCAAAUUCUGGAAUUUGGUGAUUAGAAUUGCAUUAGACCUAAAAUCCAACUCAACGUCUUUGAAACAUGCUCUCCUCUCCAGUUCAGUUCCAGUUUGUAUGGUCAAACCACAUCGAUUCAACGACUUCAAAAUGUGGAAAAGAGAAUUGUAAGGGUUUUGGUACUCGCAAGAGGUGUCAUGGAGAUUAGAAAUGUGAGGCUUACUAAAUAAGUAAAUAAUGUAAUGGAAACACACCUUUCUAUUUAUGCUUUUGAUUGUAGAUUGGUAUUGAUGUAGAAGAGAAGAAAAACAAUAUUUUAGCUUUUGCAUAACAUUUAUAUAUUGGUAUUUGUAGAUCGGUAUUAAUGUAGAUUGGUAGUCGUACC